ACAUGCGCAAAUACUAUAUCGUUCCCUCUCUUUAUGGGAGGGUGGUGAUAUAGUAGUGUUUAUUAGAUACAGAACCAACACAUCAUUAUUAUCAUUCUAUGAUGAUAGUGAUGUAAAAUAAGGUGAUUCAUAGUAACCGAACGGAUCGCAUUAUAAUUAUCAUUAUUUGAUGAUUGGCGAUAGAUCAUUCAAGUUUCUGACCUAUCAGCUUUCGACGGUAGUGUAUUGGACUACCGUGGCAGUGACGGGUAACGGGGAAUUAGGGUUCGAUUCCGGAGAGGGAGCCUGAGAAACGGCUACCACAUCUAAGGAAGGCAGCAGGCGCGCAAAUUACCCAAUCCUGACUCAGGGAGGUAGUGACAAGAAAUAACAACACUGGAAAUUUGAUUUCUAGUGAUUGGAAUGAUGGGAAUCCAAACCCCUUUCAGAGUAACAAUUGGAGGGCAAGUCUGGUGCCAGCAGCCGCGGUAAUUCCAGCUCCAAUAGCGUAUAUUAAAGUUGUUGCAGUUAAAAAGCUCGUAGUUGGAUGUCUGUUGGAAGCAAUCAUCAGUCCGCCCUAUUUGAUUAGGGUGUGAAUAUGAUGAAUUCCGUCCGGCAUAAUUGUCUCCCUAUUAUCAAUAUAUAAGAUGAUCAUUAUUAGAUUCAUUUCUAAUAAUGCGUCUACUAUAUUAUUGGUAGUAUGGGAGAAAUGUUACUUUGAGAAAAUUAGAGUGUUUGAAGCAGGCUUUUGUUGCCUUGAAUACUGCAGCAUGGAAUAACAAUAUAGGAUUUCGGUUCUAUUUUGUUGGUUUUUUUUAGGACUGAAAUAAUGAUUAAUAGGGACAGUUGGGGGCAUUCGUAUUUAACUGUCAGAGGUGAAAUUCUUAGAUUUGUUA
rnacentral:rRNA from 1 species